CCAUUUCUCUUUUCUCCUUUUCUGCUCCUGCCUCUAAACCCUAGUGAAACUUCAUCUUCAUCACAGAAAGCUCUCAAUCAUGUUCAAUUAUCGACUUUUCUUCUCGUUUUUCAUUUCUUUUCUCUCUCUUUUAUCAUCAGUUUUUCGAUUUUAGGGUUUUUUAUGGUCUGUUAGUCUAGUUUAGGAUUUUGAUUUCAUAGAUCUGUACAAGUCUUUCAUCAUCUGUAGGGUUUUAGUUUUUUCGAUUUGUCAUGUAUACUGAUUUGAAGAUGAUUUGGUAUCAUUGAAGGAAGAAGAAGAUAACUCAUCGACCCAAUUAGGUUUUUUACACCAUACAAAUCGAGAGAAAAAGGCUUCAAUAAAAAUCAUGGAUCAUCAAAAUGGGGUUUUGAGAAUUAGGGAUUCUGUUUAAAACAUGAAAUUUAUUGGAAUUAAACCAACAAAAUUAGGAGCUGUAGCAGCUUCACAGGGAGGUGAUUCUGUAGGGGGUUGAGUAGAUUCUGAAGCAGAGGCUAUGAAGAUGAAUCUGAAGAAUUAAAAUCAGAAAAGUGAAGGAUUAAGACGAUGAAGAAGAUGAGAUUAGUGGAGAGGAAGAAGAUGAACAUGAGCAUAAGGAAAAUCAGCUUUAGUCCCCUUUACAUCCAUGGUCUUGAUUAAGAUGCAUGAGAUUGCUGAGGGGUACCUUGGUUCUACAGUUAAGAAAGAUGUUGUUACAGUCCCUGCCUACUUCAAUGAUUCUCAGCGUCAUGCUACAAAGGAUGCUGGAGUCAUUGCUGGUCUUAAUGUUAUGCGUAUCAUCAAUUAGCGUAUUGCCGCUGCCAUUGCCUAUGGUCUUGACAAAAAGGCCAACAAUGUCGGAGAGAAGAAUGCUUUUAUCUUCGAUCUAGGAGGUGGUACCUUUGAUGUCACAUCUGUGAUAUUGGUGCUACACUAGUUAUCUGCCAAUGGGGUUUUGAUGAAUCGGAACUUGCCUGCUGUUAGAUGGAUUGGUGGAGUAGAACUAGAGCUCAUUGCAAUAGCUACAGGUUAUUAUGAGCUCAUCUCUUACUGAUGUAUGGCAUGUUGUCUUUGUCUCCGUAGGUGGAAGGAUUAUGCCAAGGUUCCAAGAACUGAAAAUUUGGGAAAGUUAGAGAGAAAUCCUUCGGUACAACCAAAGAUCGAAUGCGCUACAUUGAGCAGUGUGUGAAUUCAAGGGCGGUCACUAUCUUCACUUGUGGUGGUAGGUUUUUGUGCUUCUCUUUUCUUUCCGUUUAAAAAUCUUGCUUUUUAAGUAGUAGUUAACUGUUGAUUUUGAUGAAUUCUUAGGGUGGGACAGUAGUUUUACAUUAAGCCAGUACUGUGGGAGUCUUUCAACUAUACUAGCUAGUUAAGUGAUGUAGGUUGUGAGAAAUAAAUACGACGACACAUGGUUAUUAUUAGAGAUCACAAGUCAACCAGAUAUCGGUUACCAUAGCAUGUGGGUUAUAACUUUUAUACAUGACAAAUGUGGGUGAAAUUUCGAAAACGGCUCAGUAAGAAUCAUUCUUGUGGCCCUUUUUACUGCUAUUUCAGUGGGGACAUUUGUUCUCACUGAAAAUUUAAUCAUUGUAUGACAAUUUCCAGUGAAAAAUUUAGUCCCUCAUUGGAAUUGCUAUUGGAACAAGACUUUGUGUAGUAAUUUCAUUGGUGAUUCUUCUGUUUUUUUAUAUGUGUAAUCUAUUCCAGUUUUUGUUAGUAACAUUGUCCUAGGAUGAGACCAGUGCAUUCUUCUUUUGCAUGCACUGUAGUUGUUUAUUUUUUUCUUUUCCUAAUUUGUAUUUGUUCAUGCUACUUUUCAAGUUAUGUUAUAUGUGAACAUGGAGGUCAAUGGCGUGCCCUUAAAGGUAUUGGCAUCCCCUUUACAAUCUUACUCUUGAACUGUUGAACUAGUUAAAUUUUAAUAUUUUUGUGGGUUGAUGUUAUGAAUUUGGCACAUAUUAACCAGCCAACUUCGGAGUUUAAAAGGUAAUAAUCUGCCGGAAUAUUCGUAGCUGGAGGAAUUGAUAAUUACAAUUUUGUUACGUGUUUCUUUUUAUUGUGAACUCUUUUCAAUGACAAGAUGAAGUGAUGUAACGUGAAGUGUGAACUUCUUUCAUGCUCACAUAGUCACAUGUAGUAUUUUCCCUCUCUUUUGAAGCAACAACAAUGGCAGUACUAUGUUCAUCUUUAAAGAUCUUAUUAUUCCUCUCCUUCCAUAAACACCAAAUAAUAGCAAUUGGUACCAUCCUCCAAAUUUCAAAUUUAUCCUUGUCACUAAGAUUUAACUGCCAAGCUUGUAUAGCAGGAACCAUAUCUGCUGGCAUUGCAUAAAACCAUUUUAACUUACAAGUCAGACAAUCCCAAACCAUCUUUGCAAAAGCACGGUGAAGAAACAAAUGUGAAGCAGUUUCUGUGUCAGAACAAAAAAUACAAUUCCCAGACACAUCCAUUCCCCUUCUCAACAGCAUAUCUCUAGUAGCUAAUCUUCCAUGAGCAAUAAUCCACAAGAAAAAACCAAUCUUUGGAGACAUUUUAAACUCCAGAUAUAAGAGAAAACACUAGAAUUAUAUGGCACUUCCUCCAUAGAGAGCUUAUCAUAAACAGAACUGACAGAGAAAAUCUUGUCAGAAGUUAGGGGCCAAUAUAAAACAUCUUCCUGAUUUUGAUUAAACUGAAAAGCUUGUAAGUCAACUAGAAGAAGAUUCAGUUCUAUCCUUGCUGCAUAAUUAAUUCUUCUAGUAAUGAUUUUGAUUGUCUCUUACCCAUGGCAAGUUUUUUUCACACACAUUUGAAGGUACGAUUUGUUGAUUGCUCACAAAGAAGAUCUUGGGAAACUCAUAAUAUUGGAGCAAGGAAAACCUUUAAAGGAAGCUAUAGUAACCUAUGGGGCUAAUUUCAUUGAGUUCUAUGCUAAAGAAGCAAAACGAAUAUAUGGGUAUAUAAUACCAGCCACUCUAACUGAUCAUAGAUUAUUUGUUCUAAAACAGGUAAGCACAAUAUGCGAUCUCCCGCUCUCUAGUACAUGAACACAUGCACUCAUGUGCGAGUGCAAUGAUGUAACGUGAAAUCCACAAUUGUGCAUAUGUAAUAUAAUAAAAGUCAUGUUAAUGCGGAAAUAUAUAUCCGUAUAUAGUCUUAGAAUUGAUUAAAGCAAAAUCUGUUUUUU